UAGUGAGUUUGAUCCUGGCUCAGAACGAACGUUGGCGGCGUGGAUUAGGCAUGCAAGUCGGGGGUGCCAGCAAUGGCAACCGGCGUAAGGGGCAGUAAGGCAUGGGUACCUACCCUGGGGUUCGGGAUAGCCAUCAGAGAUGGUGGGUAAUACCGGAUGACCUGGUGACAGCAAAGAUUCAUCGCCCCGGGAGGGGCCCAUGUGAUAUUAGCUAGUUGGCGGGGUAAUGGCCCACCAAGGCUUAGAUGUCUAGCGGGUGUGAGAGCACGACCCGCGCCACUCGCACUGAGACACUGGCGAGACACCUACGGGGUGGCUGCAGUCGAGGAUCUUCGGCAAUGGGGGCAACCCUGACCGAGCGACGCCGCGUGUG
rnacentral:rRNA from 1 species